UACGUAGGGGGCUAGCGUUGUCCGGAAUCAUUGGGCGUAAAGCGCGUGUAGGCGGCCCGGUACGUCCGCUGUGAAAGUCGGGGGCUCAACCCUCGGAUGCCGGUGGAUACUGUCGGGCUCGAGUACGGAAGAGGCGAGUGGAAUUCCUGGUGUAGCGGUGAAAUGCGCAGAUAUCAGGAGGAACACCGAUUGCGAAGGCAGCUCGCUGGGACGUUACUGACACUGAGACGCGAAAGCGUGGGGAGCAAACAGG
rnacentral:rRNA from 1 species